rnacentral:rRNA from 1 species
ACUCAAAUGAAUUGACGGGGACCCACACAAGCGGUGGAACAUGGGGUUUAAUUCGAUGGUAAACGAAGAACCUCACCCAGGCUUGACAUCUCGGGAAUCCCGCAGAAACGCGGGAGUGCCGCAAGGAACCCGAAGACAGGCGCUGCACGGUCGUCGUCAGCUCGUGCCUUGAGGUGUACUGUUAAGUCAGCGAACGAGCGCAACCCUCAUCCUAUGUUGUUUUUUCAUAGGAGACUGCCGCCUCCAAGGCGGAGGAAGGUGGGGAUGACGUCAGAUCAGCGUGGCCUUUAUGCCUGGGGCUACACCCAUGUUACAAUGGUCGGUACAGCGGGCAGCAAAUCCGCAAGGAAGAGCAAAUCCCCCAAAACCGAUCUCAGUUCGGAUUGUCGGCUGCAACUCGCCGGCAUGAAGUUGGAAUCGCUAGUAACCGUAGGUCAGCGAUACUACGGUGAAUAUGUUCCUGGGUCUUGUACACACCGCCCGU